UGGGGAAUAUUGCACAAUGGGGGAAACCCUGAUGCAGCGACGCCGCGUGAAGGAUGAAGUAUUUCGGUAUGUAAACUUCUAUCAGCAGGGAAGAAAAUGACGGUACCUGACUAAGAAGCCCCGGCUAACUACGUGCCAGCAGCCGCGGUAAUACGUAGGGGGCAAGCGUUAUCCGGAUUUACUGGGUGUAAAGGGAGCGUAGACGGCUUAGCAAGUCUGAAGUGAAAGCCCGCGGCUCAACUGCGGGACUGCUUUGGAAACUGUGUUGCUGGAGUGCCGGAGAGGUAAGUGGAAUUCCUAGUGUAGCGGUGAAAUGCGUAGAUAUUAGGAGGAACACCAGUGGCGAAGGCGGCUUACUGGACGGUAACUGACGUUGAGGCUCGAAAGCGUGGGGAGCAAACAGGAUUAGAUACCC
rnacentral:rRNA from 1 species